rnacentral:lncRNA from 1 species
UGACUUACUUCAACUUCUACUUUUCGACCCAACGUGGUUUUUUGGUGAAAGCGGGAAACAGCGAUUAAACGGGAAUUAGUGGAAUAUAAUUUUUAAAAAAAUUAUCUUUAAAGAGUGUGAAAGUGACGAUAAAAUUACAUCGUUCUUCAAAUUUUACGUCUACUAGUAGAUGACAGUUUUUAAAUCUUAUUCGAAUUUCUCCUCUACGCUUGUACUCUAAAGAAAGCAUAAUUUUGAAGUUAUGAAAUUCCAUCCUUUGAUAUCUCUCAGAAAUGGUGAGCUCCUGAGAAUUGAACAAUUUUAUGUCAAAGCCUUUGAAUAUUUCAAAAUUUAUUAUAUAAAACCUAGACAUAAACAAUGAAGAGACGGAAAAUGGCGAGUUCGUUGCGGAAAACUGAACCAUACAAUAUGUUAGGUAUGAGAUUUGGUGACUACCAAAAUAGCUUGAGAAAACUCUCUGAAGACUGAGACACUUGUAAAUGGACCUCCCAAAUAGUUUGACCAUCAGACUUGAAAUGAAAAAUAGCAUUUUAGUGUCAAGAAAACAUGUUAUUAAAAGUUUCAUUAUUUUACCAGAGUGAAACUGCUUGCCUUAACAGUCUGACAGAGGACUUGAAUAUAUGCAUUCUGCUUUGCAAUGAAUGGGGUUUUACUUAAACCCUCAUAGAGCUUUUAUCCAUGUUUAUAGAAAAAACUCACAGCAAUGAGCAUGAAAUAUUGGACGACUUAUUUUCUUUUCCAGAAUUUCUUGUAACAGAAAAAAAGGGAAAAAAAUAGAACUUUUAUCUUUGUAUCUCAAUUAUUUCAUAUAAUAUUAAAUAGUUCUUAUGCUAAAUAAUAUUUAUUAAUAUUGUGUCAUGAUUGCUUUAGAAACUAUAUCUUACCUGAUAAGAAAAUAAUUCCUAUGAGAACUUUACAAAUUUGGUAGUUUUUUUUUUAAAGUGAGAAAUCUUUUUUAUUUAAACUAAAUACAUUAUUUGUAAUUUUUUCUUAUAUCGUAUAUCUGAUAAAAUGCGUUAAUGUAAUGAAAAUACUUAAUCUUAAACUUAUUGGUGAAUAAAUCAUAUCAGUUAUUUUGUUGCAAAUUCGACACCCUCGUGAAUUUAAACACAAGUAUCUAAAUAAAUAAAAUAAUUUGGUAUCUGAUAAUCGAGUGUAGAAAAAAUGGAACAUUAUUUUCAGUAAGACAAAACUGGGCUGUUUAGAAAAUUGCAAAACCAAAUUUCAUCUUUGUGUAAGAAACUUUGUUUUGUGUUUUGAAGAUGUAAUGAAACCAGUGUUCCCUCCCUCUAUAGGCCAGGUUGUCAAGCAUGACUGUAAAGCUAAUGGUUGUGGGUUCAUAUCGUGCUCUGGGGCAUGGAUGUUAAUCUGUGCUAAUGUGGCCCACCCUAUGAACGGGUAUUUGUGGCAUUGAUAAUGAUGCUUGCCUCCGUGAGUUAGGUUCACAAGCGCUCACAAAGGUCGAAAGGCAGGGAGCUCAGUGCUUAUCGGUAAAAAAUAUUGGCUACAUUGUUAACUUCUCUUUCCUCAGGGGGUUUAUCUUCGGGUAAACACGGGUGUCACAAUCCCGAGGUACCCCAGUGAAUCGUUUAUUUUCUAAUAUUUACUGUCACUGAAAUUCGAAACAAUUCUUGAAUUUCAUAUUGUGGUUUUUGUUCCUGAACCCUUUUUCAGUAUUGGUCUGGUCAAGUGCUUCCAGGGUGCAAAACUUGCAGGAAAGGUGGAGGUGCUCUGCGAACAGAGCCACUAGAGGAUAGUAUAGGUAACGGAUCCGUAGGACAACCGUAUAGUAAAAGUUAGACGGCCAAUGCCUGAAAAGAUACUUACCUCUUCUGCGUCUGCCAGCACUGGCACCGGAGUUAUCAGGCGAGGCAAAUAGUCCCAGUAAUUCACUCAGAAAAGCUAAAGUCAUGUAUCUGUUAUUCUUGGCCUGAAACGAGCCAAGGUACCAGUGAAUUCACUUGGGUGAGGUGUCGAGCACCCGAAGUGGGGCUUCAGCGCUAAGCAGCCUCGUCCCCAUAUGGGCAAAUGGUACGGUUGGAAAAGCACUGGAAAAAUUACCGUCGACGAGCGUAUCAAUCAUCACACAACCGCAUUCACCUCCACGUACCCAACAACAUUCAUCUCUUAACCGAUCGCCGUCACACAAACACACUUGGUAGUCAUAUGACCAUCAAGUACCUCGUCACACAACACUCUCAGAACGUGUCCUUGGUCCACAUGAACCUCGAUCAAAGUUAAUGUUGCCUCUCGAAGGAGGAACAAGAACCACUGCACUUAAGCAGAGUGGGAGGUACCUUCAGGCGGGCACCUUUUGGACGACUGAGCUAAGCUCGUGAGUGGUCGGGUCAUUAGUUCGCCAGCGGAACAAAAGUCCCAAAGAACACUGCAUCGUAAAACAAAGAGUCACUCAGUACACAUCCGACCUCAAUCGUCACUUAUGUAGAUGGUGCGGGCAGUAGCUUGAAAGGAGAGUGUCCGUUCAGUCGUCGGCAUCUACCCAAGUGCUCUUGCACUCACCUAGGAGUCGCAGGAUAUCAAGGUUCCCGAGAAUAGCCCUCAUUGCUAGUAGUAGCGACGCGACAAAUCCCGAUAUGAUCGAGCACUUGACAUCGUUGUCAUCUUUGAUCGCAGGGUAGGCGCCUUAACAGCCAAGGAUGAAACCGUGAACGGUGGCGCAUUCUGUCAGUUCUUCCUCAAGCGUCGGGGCUUCAACCAGAGGCUGGUACUUCGAUGCUUUCUCCACGUACGCGUUCGUCAGGACAUCUGGGUCAUUUGUCUCUUACCGGAUUGUAACGUCGAUGCCGAUCGUCCUCCUGUCAUCAAGCAGGAUUAGGUCCGGUCUCGACAAACGUCCGUUUGGAAGCCGGACCGGGGUGUUCCUUCCGGACUCGCCAGCCGUAUUCUGAACUGAUACGGGAGAGUGUGUUCACCACUCUAUUGUGCCUGCGGAUACACAUGCGCGGGGUGCCUGUUGGAAAUACAUCAGCUCGCAGCAUCAUUGCUCUCAGCCACAUGUUGACUUUCUUGCCCUCGGGACGUCGAAGCUAACCUUCGAGCUCCUACAGUGGAUGACCCCUUUACCAUGAACGAGGAGCUGUGCCCAUCGGUCGAACUCUUUCCACCUCUAGUUGCCGACACUGGCAACGUCUCGCAAGGAGGCACUGACGACUCCUGGCACCUCGGGGUGGUUCGACGCUUAAGAGCUUUGCUCUAGUGCGGGCGUUGGCACGCGCACAGAUCAUCCUUAAAGAGGGGAUAGACAACCCGCAAUCUAUCUGAGCAGCAUAGAGUAACCCGUUGCACGUCGAGCUAGGGAGCUUCAGCCAUCCUUUGACCGCUCUGCGAAUCAUCCGGUCGAGCACUUUCUGCUGUGUUGAGCUGACCUGGUGGGCUUGAAGAGUGUGGAGCAAGCGCGUAAGUGGUCAGAAGCUCUACCCUUUGGUCGGACUUCGGACCACUCCGCAAUUUCUCGGCCGUCUUCAAUUCGCAUCUGAAAAAAGUGGGGUAAACUCUACCCCGAGGUACUUAAAGUGUCCUUCAGGUCCGACUUGCGAGAUCUCCACCUCUCCCAGGAACAGCUUGGCGGUAGUGUCGACCACGAAAUGGUCCCUGCACUUGCGCAGCAGCAUAGAGAUGCACUUACCGGCAUUGAGUCUCAUCCCGAAUUCCCUACAGAACACAUCUACGAUGCUUAGUAGGGUCUCCAGUUCACCCAAGCUCCGACCAAGUAGGACUAGAUCGUCCGCGUAGGCCAGGACAGGAGUCCGAAAUUCCGGCGCUCCUCGUAACAACACUCCAUGCCUGCUAUCACAAAGCCUUUGGUUCAAGGCGUCGAUCACACAAUUGAAUAACAAGGGAGAGAUUGAGUCACCUUGUUUCACCCUGAAUCUAAUCUCGUGCGAGAGAGUCCCACUAAUGGAGAGCUUUGUUAAGCUCUUGCUGUAGAGAUCCUCAAGUACGGUGCCAUACGCGCUGCAGGCGUCAACUCGUUCAAGUGCGGCGAAGAUGUGAGGGUGACUUAACGUGUCAAAGGCUUUAGCGCAGUCAAGUAACUCCACAGCGGUUUCGGUAUUCCCUUCACGCAAAGCUGUGUUCAACAAGAUCCAAGUUCUCGGAGUUGCCUGGGCACUUCCGAAAAUCUCGUUGGCUAGCGUUCAGACGAACACUUCUGGUGAUAUGUCGGCCCAAGACGUUGGUAAACAUUCGUCCGAUGACGUUGGACGUUCGAGAUCGGGCUCCACUUCCCCAUAUCCUUGGAGGUACCCCCCGGUUUCGGGUGUAGCAGCGUGCUACCGCCUACCACAAUGCGAUUUUGGAACUUUUCGGUGCUUCAGCCAUUGCGUGAACAAUGUUGCUAGCUCAUGUUCGACGCCAUUCUUCAGAGCCCGCUCGAGGGGCGUAGACCAUCAGGACCGGCGGCGCUGUUUGCAUUGCAGUGUCUAAUGACCUCUGCAACCCCCUCAGGUUCUCUGUGCUCCAGCUGGUCACAUGAUGGUUCGGCGGAUCUUGAGAUGCUGCCGCAUGAGUCGUUUGGGGUCUCGAACACACCUCUAAAAUAUUUAAAGGCGGCUUGCCGAUCUGGCAGUAAACGUGGGAUUGUGACUCCAUCUAAUAUUGACGCUGCCACUCUUGCCGGGGUCAGGGCCCGUGGUUGUUGGAAGCGAGAGAAUCACUUGGCCCUGCGGCUACUAUGCUUGUCGUUACUAUGCUCCUUUCUGGUGUCUUAAGUGGCUGGAGUAGCAGCAUCCGCGCUACGAGGGAUUUGGUGUCCUAGCCCACCCACUUCCAAUCUCGUCUUCCGAACCGAUCAGCUACUAUGUGGGCAGACGCCCCCUAUAGGUAGCGGUACCUCCACUGCUCGCAAUUGGUGCCUGAUUUGCUAGAAUGUUCGGAAGGAAUGCUAAUAGCGUCCCUUCUCGAUGUUUCUUGCGCAAGGCCUUCUAUCUGGCGUUUCGUUUUGCCCGGACAAGCUACUUUCAAGUGUCCUAGCAAAGUCCUGUCUCGGCGGUACUUCUGCUCUAGCUUCCAGGACUGGUGCUCCGCACUCUUCCGCCUGAGCUCUUCUUGCUCCAACCGUCCUGCGUUGAGCACCACGGGAUGUCGGUGCCUCAGGUGCUGAGUAAGCCCUCUCUUGCUUCCGAAGGAGAGGUCGGGACGUUGCAUUUGAACGGGAGAUCCGGUUUAGCCUUCACUCCUCUGCGUUUGCUCACAUGAAUCGAGCCGGCAAGGUAGCUGGGGUGUAAAUACCUGCUACACUUUUCGCACUGCACUAGCGUUGUGCUGGUUUGGAUGAAACAGUUAUGUGAUUCGAAGGCCACAAAAUUUGCGAACUCUUCUCUGCAGUCUUAACACUGCAGCGGCCCAUUACGUAGAAGCCUUCAGGUCCUCUCAUCCCUGGCCCCGUCCAUCAGAAUUGGAACCACGUCCAAGUCUCCCAUCGUUCGAAUUGAUCAAAAUCUUAAGUUGGCUGGAAAGAAACCACACGUCAGAACAAGUAAUAAGGUUGAUCAAGACACACAAGUCAGGUAACAUAAUACGUUACCUGAUACGUUACAAGUCAGAUAACAUAAUUACAAACAUAACACGUAAUAUUUCAAGUUCAUUCAAUGUUAAUCAUGAAAGAAAGAAAAAAUGCAGUUUUUCUAUUUUGCUGAAUGUAAAAAUUCUUUU